rnacentral:miRNA from 1 species
CAGUUAAAUUUGAAGUUUGGAUACACAAUAGAUAAUAUUUUAGUAUAAGUGUGUCACAUGCCAUGUUUGUGACAUACUUAUACUAAAAACAAUAUUCAUUGUUUAUCUGAAAUUCAAAUUUAACU